AUGAAUUUCGGGGUCAGCAAGUUGGUCGUGCCACCGGUAUGCACUGGCUUUGCUGAUUCCUCCUUCUUGUAGAACCGUAAUGCCAUUAAGUUGGUGUUGCGGGGAAACAGGACUGUUACUUUGAAAAAAUUAGAGUGUUUAAAGCAGGCUAAGGCUUGAAUACAUUAGCAUGGAAUAAUGAAAUAGGACGACGAUCCUAUUUUGUUGGUUUCUAGGAUUGACGUAAUGAUUAAUAGGGAUAGUUGGGGGCAUUAGUAUUCAAUUGUCAGAGGUGAAAUUCUUGGAUUUAUUGAAGACUGACUGCUGCGAAAGCAUUUGCCAAGGAUGUUUUCAUUAAUCAAGAACGAAAGUUAGGGGAUCGAAGACGAUCGGAUACCGUCGUAGUCUUAACCAUAAACUAUGCCGACUAGGGAUCGGAUGAUGUUAAUUUUUUAAUGACUCA
rnacentral:rRNA from 1 species